UUCAUCAUUGUACUCUUUGCACAGAAACUGCAUCAGCAGGAGAAGAAGCUCUCGACCCAGCGCCUCGUUACCAUGGAGACCAGCUGUGUACCGAAAUUCAGGUUCACCUAAUGACAGCGGAGCAAAAGGAACAACACACAGGUGACCUGAUUAUAACACCAACACAGUUUUCCUGACGAACGCGAGGAACGAGUAAAGAUGGGUUGAGAUGUUUACCUGCAUGUUGAGUCGCCCCCUCUGAGCCGUGAAGCCAUGGUGAGUCUGAGAGGAAGCCAGCAGCUGGUCGUCUUCCACCCGGUGAGACUCCAAACCCAGAGGGGGACACUCUGAGAGGGAAAGUAAACAUUAAGACAGGAUUUGUUUGACAAGUGUUCCAGAAAGACACUCAUUGGCUUCAUUUUGGGGAGCAGCACUGCAGUCAAUAACAAGCCUGUCAAGAGCAGUAUUUCUUUUGAAUGAAGACAAAGUAAAACAUUAGCUGAA